GAAUGUGAGGGUGAUCUGGCUGCGAUAUCUGUCACUCCAUUGAUCACCAGGGUUGAUUCGGCUGAUCUGGCUGGCUAGGCGGGUGUCCCCUUCCUCCCUCACCAUUCCAUGUGCGUCCCUCCUGAAGCUGCGGGCUUGGUAGAAAAGCACAGCCUUCCCCGAAUAGAGACAGACCGGUCUUAGGUCAAGGGUAUAGGAGUAGCUGCACUCCCCUGCUAGAACCUCCAAACAAGCUCUCAAAAUGAAAUAAUUAUUACACAUCUGGACCAUAUUUACUAGCAAAAUCAGCCUGGGGCUUAGGUU
ensembl:misc_RNA 7SK 7SK RNA